rnacentral:lncRNA from 1 species
GCCGACAUCAAGGGUGCCACCACAAGGAGAAAAAGUGGUUGCGCAAAAGGGCAAAGCCACACGGGGGCGGCUCGCCGUGCGUCGCACUCCAUUGGAUCGACUCGGCAAUGGUCUGCAAACAGCAGCCCCACUCUGGGCAGUCGUUACCGUCGUAUCGACGAAAGGCCUCGAUCCGCGGCACGGCAAACCGCGCAAAGGCCUCACCGAAAGCCGGCCACUGAGCGAUCAACGCACAAAGGCCGUCGACGCGGGCCGUGGUGAUCUCGCGGUCGCGAUAAAGAUCCCAUCUAUCUGUGACAGGUUCUGCUAGUGCCUUUUGCAUGGCCCGCGCGCGAUCGACCAGAUCAGGUUGCGGCGGCGGCCUCUUGUCCGCAGCAAGAGCGUCAACGAGAUCAAUGGCAAAUCGGGCGAGGACCGAGUCCAACGACCAUGUCUCGGUGUCGUCAAACCCGCGCGUGCGUCUUUGGUUUUCCCAGUGUUCAACACACAUGCCAUACUCUUCUUCAUCACGGCAGAGCGUGUAGCGGCCUGGUUCAAACAGAGCCGCAACGGCGGUCGCAUGUUGUUGCGGCGGCGUCGCUCCCAUUGACGCCCGUGGUUGGUAUUUCUCGUCAAUGGCUUGGACCAUGUCACGCCAUUCGCCAUCGAUUCGUGCGCACGGUCGGCGCUCCCCAUCGGGUAGGAUGUGCACACCGGGCCCGACCACCUUGUUCUUGACCCAUUCGGCAUCGUAUGCGUGGCCGUCGCCAUAGGUCACGAUGCCCCGGCCGCGUCUCUUGCCGUUGGCCCACCCACCGCGAUAGCAUGCGCCUCCGGGCCACGCGGCGAUGCCACGGCCAUUUUCCUUAUUUCGCGCCCAUUGGCCUUCGUAAACGUAGGCGCCGUGCGCGGUGUUGAUCACUGCACGCCCAUAGCCAUGACGGCACUUGCGACGAAAGUCGCCCUGGUAGGUGUAGCCGUCGUCGCGGUUGGCAGCGCCCACCGACGAGCGCCUCUGUUUGCGCUUGGCCACAGACAGGGGCAGCCGCGCGCGGUACAACCACUGCCAGUUUUUGCCAAAGGCAGCAAAGUGGACGUGGGGCGGUAGGCCGUGGGCAGAUUGCGCGCACAUGUCCUUCCACAGACCGUCGUCGGCGGCGAGGGCGUGCAGGCGGCGGCACGUCUCGCCAAAGCGCACGACCAGGCAAAGAUCUCGCGUCGCUCGCAACACUGCCAGGACAAGUUCGUCCGGCAGUUUUUGAAAGAGGCCGCCGUCGUCUGUGUCAUCGCACUCGCUGUCGGCCAUCUGUCAGCCGCACCGGCUUCUUGUCUACCGUCCUUUUUUUGGAAAAAAACAACAAAAUGUUUGUUCUUG